AAAAGAGAAGUGCAAACAGAAAAAGGACAAAAGGUUGUGCAGGAAAGCCUCAGGCCUCCUGCGCAGGCUGAGUUGGGCAAGAAGAAGGUGGCUUUGGAGAAGCUGCAAGCGACGAGAGUGAAGAAUCUGCAAGCAAGUCACGAGGCCGAAGAUGCAAGUCGGAGAAGACGGAGGAGAAGGAAAGGGACCCUUGACGCUGGCACCUCCGUGUAGGCAGGGCUCCGGAAGCAGAUCCACGUUCCCUGCUGCUCCUGAGCCCCUUUGUUGCCCAGAGCAGCGUGGCCGCCCUGUAACGAGGGCCGCAGUCUCUGCUCAGUUGGCCGUCUGCCCAGCUACCCCUCUUGCCGGCUGGUGAGAGUGACUGCCCUGUAAGGAGGGUGGAAGUCAGCGUGCUGCCCAUUUCUGGGGGAGAGGGAGCUCUUCAGGUGCCUGAGCCAUGGGACCAGCCCGUAAACCGGGUCCUGGUCUCGGCACCGGCGGCCCUAUGCCGUGCAAUGGCAGCCUGCGUAGCGUGGCCCCCUGUAAUCAGGGUGGGAGCCGCGGGCUACGUAUUUCUAGGCCCUUGGUACCCGGAGCCGCCUGCCCGCUCCGUAAUCGGGGUCGAGGUCUCUGCCCGCGGGGCUUCACGCCCGGGCGGCAGUUACUGGGGCCGGGCUCGCCUGUAACUCGGGCGCGUAGCCCCAGGCUUCACUGUCUCGGUGUGUGCCGUGUGCUGCACUUUGAGAGGAGGUGUGAAGGCCUUUUGGGUGUAAGUAUCGGCCCCCUGCCGGUAGGCUGGAUGUAGUUUUAUACCUGUCUGCCCCUGGGAGAAGAGGAGGCCGGCGGCGGUGCUGCAGCGUGCUCUUUUUUUCUCUUCUGGGAAGACUUUUGUUUGGUGUGUCUGUUGGUGUGCGUGGGGAUGAGCGUGGCUGUUGCGGAAGGUGUUGUUUUGCGUGUUUAGGCCCUAACUUACUGCAGCGUACUUUAUUCAGCCUUCCCAGAGGCAGAAAACGAGAACCGUUGCGUGCGCUAACCAAAGGAUCCUCCUGCCUUCCCCCAGAAGGGCCCGGUGUGGGUACAGGACGCAUCCGCUUGCUGUCGAGGAGAAGGCAGGCUCCUUAUGAGCCCCUUUGGCAGGCACUCGGGCAUGAUCUGCUUGUAAGUGAGGAGCAGGCCAGCCUCCUCUGAGGCCCCUUCCCCAGCCAUCAGCGUCCAGAGUCCUGGCCCUUCCUCCCUGGCCUCCAACGCGCCCGGAUGCCUCUGGCAAAGCCUCAGGCCUCCUGCGCAGACGUGCUGCUGGAGGAGGACCCCGCUUCUGCGGUGGGGUGAAGCGGGCAAGAAGAAGGUGGCUUUGGAGAAGCUGCAAGCGACGAGAGUGAAGAAUCUGCAAGCAAGUCACGAGGCCGAAGAUGCAAGUCGGAGAAGACGGAGGAGAAGGAAAGGGACCCUUGACGCUGGCACCUCCGUGUAGGCAGGGCUCCGGAAGCAGAUCCACGUUCCCUGCUGCUCCUGAGCCCCUUUGUUGCCCAGAGCAGCGUGGCCGCCCUGUAACGAGGGCCGCGGUCUCUGCUCAGUUGGCCGUCUGCCCAGCUACCCCUCUUGCCGGCUGGUGAGAGUGACUGCCCUGUAAGGAGGGUGGAAGUCAGCGUGCUGCCCAUUUCUGGGGGAGAGGGAGCUCUUCAGGUGCCUGAGCCAUGGGACCAGCCCGUAAACCGGGUCCUGGUCUCGGCACCGGCGGCCCUAUGCCGUGCAAUGGCAGCCUGCGUAGCGUGGCCCCCUGUAAUCAGGGUGGGAGCCGCGGGCUACGUAUUUCUAGGCCCUUGGUACCCGGAGCCGCCUGCCCGCUCCGUAAUCGGGGUCGAGGUCUCUGCCCGCGGGGCUUCACGCCCGGGCGGCAGUUACUGGGGCCGGGCUCGCCUGUAACUCGGGCGCGUAGCCCCAGGCUUCACUGUCUCGGUGUGUGCCGUGUGCUGCACUUUGAGAGGAGGUGUGAAGGCCUUUUGGGUGUAAGUAUCGGCCCCCUGCCGGUAGGCUGGAUGUAGUUUUAUACCUGUCUGCCCCUGGGAGAAGAGGAGGCCGGCGGCGGUGCUGCAGCGUGCUCUUUUUUUCUCUUCUGGGAAGACUUUUGUUUGGUGUGUCUGUUGGUGUGCGUGGGGAUGAGCGUGGCUGUUGCGGAAGGUGUUGUUUUGCGUGUUUAGGCCCUAACUUACUGCAGCGUACUUUAUUCAGCCUUCCCAGAGGCAGAAAACGAGAACCGUUGCGUGCGCUAACCAAAGGAUCCUCCUGCCUUCCCCCAGAAGGGCCCGGUGUGGGUACAGGACGCAUCCGCUUGCUGUCGAGGAGAAGGCAGGCUCCUUAUGAGCCCCUUUGGCAGGCACUCGGGCAUGAUCUGCUUGUAAGUGAGGAGCAGGCCAGCCUCCUCUGAGGCCCCUUCCCCAGCCAUCAGCGUCCAGAGUCCUGGCCCUUCCUCCCUGGCCUCCAACGCGCCCGGAUGCCUCUGGCAAAGCCUCAGGCCUCCUGCGCAGACGUGCUGCUGGAGGAGGACCCCGCUUCUGCGGUGGGGUGAAGCGGGCAAGAAGAAGGUGGCUUUGGAGAAGCUGCAAGCGACGAGAGUGAAGAAUCUGCAAGCAAGUCACGAGGCCGAAGAUGCAAGUCGGAGAAGACGGAGGAGAAGGAAAGGGACCCUUGACGCUGGCACCUCCGUGUAGGCAGGGCUCCGGAAGCAGAUCCACGUUCCCUGCUGCUCCUGAGCCCCUUUGUUGCCCAGAGCAGCGUGGCCGCCCUGUAACGAGGGCCGCGGUCUCUGCUCAGUUGGCCGUCUGCCCAGCUACCCCUCUUGCCGGCUGGUGAGAGUGACUGCCCUGUAAGGAGGGUGGAAGUCAGCGUGCUGCCCAUUUCUGGGGGAGAGGGAGCUCUUCAGGUGCCUGAGCCAUGGGACCAGCCCGUAAACCGGGUCCUGGUCUCGGCACCGGCGGCCCUAUGCCGUGCAAUGGCAGCCUGCGUAGCGUGGCCCCCUGUAAUCAGGGUGGGAGCCGCGGGCUACGUAUUUCUAGGCCCUUGGUACCCGGAGCCGCCUGCCCGCUCCGUAAUCGGGGUCGAGGUCUCUGCCCGCGGGGCUUCACGCCCGGGCGGCAGUUACUGGGGCCGGGCUCGCCUGUAACUCGGGCGCGUAGCCCCAGGCUUCACUGUCUCGGUGUGUGCCGUGUGCUGCACUUUGAGAGGAGGUGUGAAGGCCUUUUGGGUGUAAGUAUCGGCCCCCUGCCGGUAGGCUGGAUGUAGUUUUAUACCUGUCUGCCCCUGGGAGAAGAGGAGGCCGGCGGCGGUGCUGCAGCGUGCUCUUUUUUUCUCUUCUGGGAAGACUUUUGUUUGGUGUGUCUGUUGGUGUGCGUGGGGAUGAGCGUGGCUGUUGCGGAAGGUGUUGUUUUGCGUGUUUAGGCCCUAACUUACUGCAGCGUACUUUAUUCAGCCUUCCCAGAGGCAGAAAACGAGAACCGUUGCGUGCGCUAACCAAAGGAUCCUCCUGCCUUCCCCCAGAAGGGCCCGGUGUGGGUACAGGACGCAUCCGCUUGCUGUCGAGGAGAAGGCAGGCUCCUUAUGAGCCCCUUUGGCAGGCACUCGGGCAUGAUCUGCUUGUAAGUGAGGAGCAGGCCAGCCUCCUCUGAGGCCCCUUCCCCAGCCAUCAGCGUCCAGAGUCCUGGCCCUUCCUCCCUGGCCUCCAACGCGCCCGGAUGCCUCUGGCAAAGCCUCAGGCCUCCUGCGCAGACGUGCUGCUGGAGGAGGACCCCGCUUCUGCGGUGGGGUGAAGCGGGCAAGAAGAAGGUGGCUUUGGAGAAGCUGCAAGCGACGAGAGUGAAGAAUCUGCAAGCAAGUCACGAGGCCGAAGAUGCAAGUCGGAGAAGACGGAGGAGAAGGAAAGGGACCCUUGACGCUGGCACCUCCGUGUAGGCAGGGCUCCGGAAGCAGAUCCACGUUCCCUGCUGCUCCUGAGCCCCUUUGUUGCCCAGAGCAGCGUGGCCGCCCUGUAACGAGGGCCGCGGUCUCUGCUCAGUUGGCCGUCUGCCCAGCUACCCCUCUUGCCGGCUGGUGAGAGUGACUGCCCUGUAAGGAGGGUGGAAGUCAGCGUGCUGCCCAUUUCUGGGGGAGAGGGAGCUCUUCAGGUGCCUGAGCCAUGGGACCAGCCCGUAAACCGGGUCCUGGUCUCGGCACCGGCGGCCCUAUGCCGUGCAAUGGCAGCCUGCGUAGCGUGGCCCCCUGUAAUCAGGGUGGGAGCCGCGGGCUACGUAUUUCUAGGCCCUUGGUACCCGGAGCCGCCUGCCCGCUCCGUAAUCGGGGUCGAGGUCUCUGCCCGCGGGGCUUCACGCCCGGGCGGCAGUUACUGGGGCCGGGCUCGCCUGUAACUCGGGCGCGUAGCCCCAGGCUUCACUGUCUCGGUGUGUGCCGUGUGCUGCACUUUGAGAGGAGGUGUGAAGGCCUUUUGGGUGUAAGUAUCGGCCCCCUGCCGGUAGGCUGGAUGUAGUUUUAUACCUGUCUGCCCCUGGGAGAAGAGGAGGCCGGCGGCGGUGCUGCAGCGUGCUCUUUUUUUCUCUUCUGGGAAGACUUUUGUUUGGUGUGUCUGUUGGUGUGCGUGGGGAUGAGCGUGGCUGUUGCGGAAGGUGUUGUUUUGCGUGUUUAGGCCCUAACUUACUGCAGCGUACUUUAUUCAGCCUUCCCAGAGGCAGAAAACGAGAACCGUUGCGUGCGCUAACCAAAGGAUCCUCCUGCCUUCCCCCAGAAGGGCCCGGUGUGGGUACAGGACGCAUCCGCUUGCUGUCGAGGAGAAGGCAGGCUCCUUAUGAGCCCCUUUGGCAGGCACUCGGGCAUGAUCUGCUUGUAAGUGAGGAGCAGGCCAGCCUCCUCUGAGGCCCCUUCCCCAGCCAUCAGCGUCCAGAGUCCUGGCCCUUCCUCCCUGGCCUCCAACGCGCCCGGAUGCCUCUGGCAAAGCCUCAGGCCUCCUGCGCAGACGUGCUGCUGGAGGAGGACCCCGCUUCUGCGGUGGGGUGAAGCGGGCAAGAAGAAGGUGGCUUUGGAGAAGCUGCAAGCGACGAGAGUGAAGAAUCUGCAAGCAAGUCACGAGGCCGAAGAUGCAAGUCGGAGAAGACGGAGGAGAAGGAAAGGGACCCUUGACGCUGGCACCUCCGUGUAGGCAGGGCUCCGGAAGCAGAUCCACGUUCCCUGCUGCUCCUGAGCCCCUUUGUUGCCCAGAGCAGCGUGGCCGCCCUGUAACGAGGGCCGCGGUCUCUGCUCAGUUGGCCGUCUGCCCAGCUACCCCUCUUGCCGGCUGGUGAGAGUGACUGCCCUGUAAGGAGGGUGGAAGUCAGCGUGCUGCCCAUUUCUGGGGGAGAGGGAGCUCUUCAGGUGCCUGAGCCAUGGGACCAGCCCGUAAACCGGGUCCUGGUCUCGGCACCGGCGGCCCUAUGCCGUGCAAUGGCAGCCUGCGUAGCGUGGCCCCCUGUAAUCAGGGUGGGAGCCGCGGGCUACGUAUUUCUAGGCCCUUGGUACCCGGAGCCGCCUGCCCGCUCCGUAAUCGGGGUCGAGGUCUCUGCCCGCGGGGCUUCACGCCCGGGCGGCAGUUACUGGGGCCGGGCUCGCCUGUAACUCGGGCGCGUAGCCCCAGGCUUCACUGUCUCGGUGUGUGCCGUGUGCUGCACUUUGAGAGGAGGUGUGAAGGCCUUUUGGGUGUAAGUAUCGGCCCCCUGCCGGUAGGCUGGAUGUAGUUUUAUACCUGUCUGCCCCUGGGAGAAGAGGAGGCCGGCGGCGGUGCUGCAGCGUGCUCUUUUUUUCUCUUCUGGGAAGACUUUUGUUUGGUGUGUCUGUUGGUGUGCGUGGGGAUGAGCGUGGCUGUUGCGGAAGGUGUUGUUUUGCGUGUUUAGGCCCUAACUUACUGCAGCGUACUUUAUUCAGCCUUCCCAGAGGCAGAAAACGAGAACCGUUGCGUGCGCUAACCAAAGGAUCCUCCUGCCUUCCCCCAGAAGGGCCCGGUGUGGGUACAGGACGCAUCCGCUUGCUGUCGAGGAGAAGGCAGGCUCCUUAUGAGCCCCUUUGGCAGGCACUCGGGCAUGAUCUGCUUGUAAGUGAGGAGCAGGCCAGCCUCCUCUGAGGCCCCUUCCCCAGCCAUCAGCGUCCAGAGUCCUGGCCCUUCCUCCCUGGCCUCCAACGCGCCCGGAUGCCUCUGGCAAAGCCUCAGGCCUCCUGCGCAGACGUGCUGCUGGAGGAGGACCCCGCUUCUGCGGUGGGGUGAAGCGGGCAAGAAGAAGGUGGCUUUGGAGAAGCUGCAAGCGACGAGAGUGAAGAAUCUGCAAGCAAGUCACGAGGCCGAAGAUGCAAGUCGGAGAAGACGGAGGAGAAGGAAAGGGACCCUUGACGCUGGCACCUCCGUGUAGGCAGGGCUCCGGAAGCAGAUCCACGUUCCCUGCUGCUCCUGAGCCCCUUUGUUGCCCAGAGCAGCGUGGCCGCCCUGUAACGAGGGCCGCGGUCUCUGCUCAGUUGGCCGUCUGCCCAGCUACCCCUCUUGCCGGCUGGUGAGAGUGACUGCCCUGUAAGGAGGGUGGAAGUCAGCGUGCUGCCCAUUUCUGGGGGAGAGGGAGCUCUUCAGGUGCCUGAGCCAUGGGACCAGCCCGUAAACCGGGUCCUGGUCUCGGCACCGGCGGCCCUAUGCCGUGCAAUGGCAGCCUGCGUAGCGUGGCCCCCUGUAAUCAGGGUGGGAGCCGCGGGCUACGUAUUUCUAGGCCCUUGGUACCCGGAGCCGCCUGCCCGCUCCGUAAUCGGGGUCGAGGUCUCUGCCCGCGGGGCUUCACGCCCGGGCGGCAGUUACUGGGGCCGGGCUCGCCUGUAACUCGGGCGCGUAGCCCCAGGCUUCACUGUCUCGGUGUGUGCCGUGUGCUGCACUUUGAGAGGAGGUGUGAAGGCCUUUUGGGUGUAAGUAUCGGCCCCCUGCCGGUAGGCUGGAUGUAGUUUUAUACCUGUCUGCCCCUGGGAGAAGAGGAGGCCGGCGGCGGUGCUGCAGCGUGCUCUUUUUUUCUCUUCUGGGAAGACUUUUGUUUGGUGUGUCUGUUGGUGUGCGUGGGGAUGAGCGUGGCUGUUGCGGAAGGUGUUGUUUUGCGUGUUUAGGCCCUAACUUACUGCAGCGUACUUUAUUCAGCCUUCCCAGAGGCAGAAAACGAGAACCGUUGCGUGCGCUAACCAAAGGAUCCUCCUGCCUUCCCCCAGAAGGGCCCGGUGUGGGUACAGGACGCAUCCGCUUGCUGUCGAGGAGAAGGCAGGCUCCUUAUGAGCCCCUUUGGCAGGCACUCGGGCAUGAUCUGCUUGUAAGUGAGGAGCAGGCCAGCCUCCUCUGAGGCCCCUUCCCCAGCCAUCAGCGUCCAGAGUCCUGGCCCUUCCUCCCUGGCCUCCAACGCGCCCGGAUGCCUCUGGCAAAGCCUCAGGCCUCCUGCGCAGACGUGCUGCUGGAGGAGGACCCCGCUUCUGCGGUGGGGUGAAGCGGGCAAGAAGAAGGUGGCUUUGGAGAAGCUGCAAGCGACGAGAGUGAAGAAUCUGCAAGCAAGUCACGAGGCCGAAGAUGCAAGUCGGAGAAGACGGAGGAGAAGGAAAGGGACCCUUGACGCUGGCACCUCCGUGUAGGCAGGGCUCCGGAAGCAGAUCCACGUUCCCUGCUGCUCCUGAGCCCCUUUGUUGCCCAGAGCAGCGUGGCCGCCCUGUAACGAGGGCCGCGGUCUCUGCUCAGUUGGCCGUCUGCCCAGCUACCCCUCUUGCCGGCUGGUGAGAGUGACUGCCCUGUAAGGAGGGUGGAAGUCAGCGUGCUGCCCAUUUCUGGGGGAGAGGGAGCUCUUCAGGUGCCUGAGCCAUGGGACCAGCCCGUAAACCGGGUCCUGGUCUCGGCACCGGCGGCCCUAUGCCGUGCAAUGGCAGCCUGCGUAGCGUGGCCCCCUGUAAUCAGGGUGGGAGCCGCGGGCUACGUAUUUCUAGGCCCUUGGUACCCGGAGCCGCCUGCCCGCUCCGUAAUCGGGGUCGAGGUCUCUGCCCGCGGGGCUUCACGCCCGGGCGGCAGUUACUGGGGCCGGGCUCGCCUGUAACUCGGGCGCGUAGCCCCAGGCUUCACUGUCUCGGUGUGUGCCGUGUGCUGCACUUUGAGAGGAGGUGUGAAGGCCUUUUGGGUGUAAGUAUCGGCCCCCUGCCGGUAGGCUGGAUGUAGUUUUAUACCUGUCUGCCCCUGGGAGAAGAGGAGGCCGGCGGCGGUGCUGCAGCGUGCUCUUUUUUUCUCUUCUGGGAAGACUUUUGUUUGGUGUGUCUGUUGGUGUGCGUGGGGAUGAGCGUGGCUGUUGCGGAAGGUGUUGUUUUGCGUGUUUAGGCCCUAACUUACUGCAGCGUACUUUAUUCAGCCUUCCCAGAGGCAGAAAACGAGAACCGUUGCGUGCGCUAACCAAAGGAUCCUCCUGCCUUCCCCCAGAAGGGCCCGGUGUGGGUACAGGACGCAUCCGCUUGCUGUCGAGGAGAAGGCAGGCUCCUUAUGAGCCCCUUUGGCAGGCACUCGGGCAUGAUCUGCUUGUAAGUGAGGAGCAGGCCAGCCUCCUCUGAGGCCCCUUCCCCAGCCAUCAGCGUCCAGAGUCCUGGCCCUUCCUCCCUGGCCUCCAACGCGCCCGGAUGCCUCUGGCAAAGCCUCAGGCCUCCUGCGCAGACGUGCUGCUGGAGGAGGACCCCGCUUCUGCGGUGGGGUGAAGCGGGCAAGAAGAAGGUGGCUUUGGAGAAGCUGCAAGCGACGAGAGUGAAGAAUCUGCAAGCAAGUCACGAGGCCGAAGAUGCAAGUCGGAGAAGACGGAGGAGAAGGAAAGGGACCCUUGACGCUGGCACCUCCGUGUAGGCAGGGCUCCGGAAGCAGAUCCACGUUCCCUGCUGCUCCUGAGCCCCUUUGUUGCCCAGAGCAGCGUGGCCGCCCUGUAACGAGGGCCGCGGUCUCUGCUCAGUUGGCCGUCUGCCCAGCUACCCCUCUUGCCGGCUGGUGAGAGUGACUGCCCUGUAAGGAGGGUGGAAGUCAGCGUGCUGCCCAUUUCUGGGGGAGAGGGAGCUCUUCAGGUGCCUGAGCCAUGGGACCAGCCCGUAAACCGGGUCCUGGUCUCGGCACCGGCGGCCCUAUGCCGUGCAAUGGCAGCCUGCGUAGCGUGGCCCCCUGUAAUCAGGGUGGGAGCCGCGGGCUACGUAUUUCUAGGCCCUUGGUACCCGGAGCCGCCUGCCCGCUCCGUAAUCGGGGUCGAGGUCUCUGCCCGCGGGGCUUCACGCCCGGGCGGCAGUUACUGGGGCCGGGCUCGCCUGUAACUCGGGCGCGUAGCCCCAGGCUUCACUGUCUCGGUGUGUGCCGUGUGCUGCACUUUGAGAGGAGGUGUGAAGGCCUUUUGGGUGUAAGUAUCGGCCCCCUGCCGGUAGGCUGGAUGUAGUUUUAUACCUGUCUGCCCCUGGGAGAAGAGGAGGCCGGCGGCGGUGCUGCAGCGUGCUCUUUUUUUCUCUUCUGGGAAGACUUUUGUUUGGUGUGUCUGUUGGUGUGCGUGGGGAUGAGCGUGGCUGUUGCGGAAGGUGUUGUUUUGCGUGUUUAGGCCCUAACUUACUGCAGCGUACUUUAUUCAGCCUUCCCAGAGGCAGAAAACGAGAACCGUUGCGUGCGCUAACCAAAGGAUCCUCCUGCCUUCCCCCAGAAGGGCCCGGUGUGGGUACAGGACGCAUCCGCUUGCUGUCGAGGAGAAGGCAGGCUCCUUAUGAGCCCCUUUGGCAGGCACUCGGGCAUGAUCUGCUUGUAAGUGAGGAGCAGGCCAGCCUCCUCUGAGGCCCCUUCCCCAGCCAUCAGCGUCCAGAGUCCUGGCCCUUCCUCCCUGGCCUCCAACGCGCCCGGAUGCCUCUGGCAAAGCCUCAGGCCUCCUGCGCAGACGUGCUGCUGGAGGAGGACCCCGCUUCUGCGGUGGGGUGAAGCGGGCAAGAAGAAGGUGGCUUUGGAGAAGCUGCAAGCGACGAGAGUGAAGAAUCUGCAAGCAAGUCACGAGGCCGAAGAUGCAAGUCGGAGAAGACGGAGGAGAAGGAAAGGGACCCUUGACGCUGGCACCUCCGUGUAGGCAGGGCUCCGGAAGCAGAUCCACGUUCCCUGCUGCUCCUGAGCCCCUUUGUUGCCCAGAGCAGCGUGGCCGCCCUGUAACGAGGGCCGCGGUCUCUGCUCAGUUGGCCGUCUGCCCAGCUACCCCUCUUGCCGGCUGGUGAGAGUGACUGCCCUGUAAGGAGGGUGGAAGUCAGCGUGCUGCCCAUUUCUGGGGGAGAGGGAGCUCUUCAGGUGCCUGAGCCAUGGGACCAGCCCGUAAACCGGGUCCUGGUCUCGGCACCGGCGGCCCUAUGCCGUGCAAUGGCAGCCUGCGUAGCGUGGCCCCCUGUAAUCAGGGUGGGAGCCGCGGGCUACGUAUUUCUAGGCCCUUGGUACCCGGAGCCGCCUGCCCGCUCCGUAAUCGGGGUCGAGGUCUCUGCCCGCGGGGCUUCACGCCCGGGCGGCAGUUACUGGGGCCGGGCUCGCCUGUAACUCGGGCGCGUAGCCCCAGGCUUCACUGUCUCGGUGUGUGCCGUGUGCUGCACUUUGAGAGGAGGUGUGAAGGCCUUUUGGGUGUAAGUAUCGGCCCCCUGCCGGUAGGCUGGAUGUAGUUUUAUACCUGUCUGCCCCUGGGAGAAGAGGAGGCCGGCGGCGGUGCUGCAGCGUGCUCUUUUUUUCUCUUCUGGGAAGACUUUUGUUUGGUGUGUCUGUUGGUGUGCGUGGGGAUGAGCGUGGCUGUUGCGGAAGGUGUUGUUUUGCGUGUUUAGGCCCUAACUUACUGCAGCGUACUUUAUUCAGCCUUCCCAGAGGCAGAAAACGAGAACCGUUGCGUGCGCUAACCAAAGGAUCCUCCUGCCUUCCCCCAGAAGGGCCCGGUGUGGGUACAGGACGCAUCCGCUUGCUGUCGAGGAGAAGGCAGGCUCCUUAUGAGCCCCUUUGGCAGGCACUCGGGCAUGAUCUGCUUGUAAGUGAGGAGCAGGCCAGCCUCCUCUGAGGCCCCUUCCCCAGCCAUCAGCGUCCAGAGUCCUGGCCCUUCCUCCCUGGCCUCCAACGCGCCCGGAUGCCUCUGGCAAAGCCUCAGGCCUCCUGCGCAGACGUGCUGCUGGAGGAGGACCCCGCUUCUGCGGUGGGGUGAAGCGGGCAAGAAGAAGGUGGCUUUGGAGAAGCUGCAAGCGACGAGAGUGAAGAAUCUGCAAGCAAGUCACGAGGCCGAAGAUGCAAGUCGGAGAAGACGGAGGAGAAGGAAAGGGACCCUUGACGCUGGCACCUCCGUGUAGGCAGGGCUCCGGAAGCAGAUCCACGUUCCCUGCUGCUCCUGAGCCCCUUUGUUGCCCAGAGCAGCGUGGCCGCCCUGUAACGAGGGCCGCGGUCUCUGCUCAGUUGGCCGUCUGCCCAGCUACCCCUCUUGCCGGCUGGUGAGAGUGACUGCCCUGUAAGGAGGGUGGAAGUCAGCGUGCUGCCCAUUUCUGGGGGAGAGGGAGCUCUUCAGGUGCCUGAGCCAUGGGACCAGCCCGUAAACCGGGUCCUGGUCUCGGCACCGGCGGCCCUAUGCCGUGCAAUGGCAGCCUGCGUAGCGUGGCCCCCUGUAAUCAGGGUGGGAGCCGCGGGCUACGUAUUUCUAGGCCCUUGGUACCCGGAGCCGCCUGCCCGCUCCGUAAUCGGGGUCGAGGUCUCUGCCCGCGGGGCUUCACGCCCGGGCGGCAGUUACUGGGGCCGGGCUCGCCUGUAACUCGGGCGCGUAGCCCCAGGCUUCACUGUCUCGGUGUGUGCCGUGUGCUGCACUUUGAGAGGAGGUGUGAAGGCCUUUUGGGUGUAAGUAUCGGCCCCCUGCCGGUAGGCUGGAUGUAGUUUUAUACCUGUCUGCCCCUGGGAGAAGAGGAGGCCGGCGGCGGUGCUGCAGCGUGCUCUUUUUUUCUCUUCUGGGAAGACUUUUGUUUGGUGUGUCUGUUGGUGUGCGUGGGGAUGAGCGUGGCUGUUGCGGAAGGUGUUGUUUUGCGUGUUUAGGCCCUAACUUACUGCAGCGUACUUUAUUCAGCCUUCCCAGAGGCAGAAAACGAGAACCGUUGCGUGCGCUAACCAAAGGAUCCUCCUGCCUUCCCCCAGAAGGGCCCGGUGUGGGUACAGGACGCAUCCGCUUGCUGUCGAGGAGAAGGCAGGCUCCUUAUGAGCCCCUUUGGCAGGCACUCGGGCAUGAUCUGCUUGUAAGUGAGGAGCAGGCCAGCCUCCUCUGAGGCCCCUUCCCCAGCCAUCAGCGUCCAGAGUCCUGGCCCUUCCUCCCUGGCCUCCAACGCGCCCGGAUGCCUCUGGCAAAGCCUCAGGCCUCCUGCGCAGAUGUGCUGCUGGAGGAGGACCCCACUUUGAGAGGAGGAAUUUUUGCAGCAAGCUGCAGCUGGCUGUUAACCCUUCUGAUUGUGUUGGGUAUUUUUUUUGCAUAAGAGAUGCAUGAGGAGCAUGCACUGCAUAAAUGGAAGGCAUUGACAGCCUGUAGUCUCCAGGUAGUCGUCAUUAUUUUCUGCCCACUUUAAGCCACGAGUAUAAUCCAGGCUCAGUUUGCCACUGACAGGCAUUACUUUUGAAGCAGUUUAAUCUACAGUGUCCUUAUACUACCCAAGCCUAUACUGGGGUGCUAAAUCUAACUUCAGUCUGUUUAGAAUAUCUCCGUCACCAUCAGUAUUGACUGAGCCCUUGGUUUGCUCUAAACAACUUAUUUUUUCUCUCUGAAGGCAAAACAAAAUAUUGUUUUCUAACAGUUGAUUUUUGGAAAUGAUCACGCUUUGGGUGUUAAAAGAAAUUCCCAGCAAUUUAUGUUAUUUCUUUUCUUGUAGGUGGGACUGAGAUAGCAAUAUAUACAUUUUAUGGAGGGCUUAACCAGGUCUUAUUAAAGUCUUAAAUUGUUAUG